GUCUGGGGAGUACGGCCGCAAGGUUAAAUCUCAAAUGAAUUGACGGGGGCCCGCACAAGCGGUGGAGCAUGUGGUUUAAUUGGAUGCAACGCGAAGAACCUUACCUGGUCUUGACAUCCACGGAAGUUUUCAGAGAUGAGAAUGUGCCUUCGGGAACCGUGAGACAGGUGCUGCAUGGCUGUCGUCAGCUCGUGUUGUGAAAUGGUGGGUUAAGUCCCGCAACGAGCGCAACCGUUAUCCUUUGUUGCCAGCGGUCCGGCCGGGAACUCAAAGGAGACUGCCAGUGAUAAACUGGAGGAAGGUGGGGAUGACGUCAAGUCAUCAUGGCCCUUAUGACCAGGGCUACACACGUGCCACAAUGGCGCAUACAAAGAGAAGCGACCUCGCGAGAGCAAGCGGACCUCAUAAAGUGCGUCGUAGUCCGGAUUGGAGUCUGCAACUCGCACUCCAUGAAGUCGGAAUUGCUAGUAAUCGUGGAUCAGAAUGCCACGGUGAAUACGUUCCCGGGCCUUGUACACACCGCCCGUCACACCAUGGGAGUGGGUUGCAAAAGAAGUAGGUAGCUUAACCUUCGGGAGGGCGCUUACCACUUUGUG
rnacentral:rRNA from 1 species